AGAGUUUGAUCAUGGCUCAGGAUGAACGCUAGCGGGAGGCUUAACACAUGCAAGUCGAGGGGCAUCACGAGGUAGCAAUACUUUUGGUGGCGACCGGCGCACGGGUGAGUAACACGUAUGCAACCUUCCCUGUACAGGGGGAUAACCCGGAGAAAUUCGGACUAAUACCCCAUGAUGAUAUUUAUGGGCAUCCAUUGAUAUUUAAAGCUCUGGCGGUACAGGAUGGGCAUGCGCGACAUUAGCUAGUUGGUAAGGUAACGGCUUACCAAGGCUACGAUGUUUAGGGGACCUGAGAGGGUUGUCCCCCACACUGGUACUGAGACACGGACCAGACUCCUACGGGAGGCAGCAGUGAGGAAUAUUGGUCAAUGGGCGCAAGCCUGAACCAGCCAUCCCGCGUGAAGGAAGAAUGCGCUACGCGUUGUAAACUUCUUUUCCAGGGGGAGAAUAAUCCUGUCGUGACAGGACUUGACGGUACUCUGGGAAUAAGCAUCGGCUAACUCCGUGCCAGCAGCCGCGGUAAUACGGAGGAUGCGAGCGUUAUCCGGAUUUAUUGGGUUUAAAGGGUGCGUAGGCGGAUUGAUAAGUCAGUGGUGAAAUUCUACAGCUUAACUGUAGACUUGCCGUUGAUACUGUUAGUCUUGAGUGUGGUCAAGGCAGGCGGAAUGUGUAAUGUAGCGGUGAAAUGCUUAGAUAUUACACAGAACACCGAUUGCGAAGGCAGCUUGCUGGGUCAUUACUGACGCUGAUGCACGAAAGCGUGGGGAUCAAACAGGAUUAGAUACCCUGGUAGUCCACGCCGUAAACUAUGAUCACUCGCUGUUGGCGAUACACAGUCAGCGGCUAAGCAAAAGCAUUAAGUGAUCCACCUGGGGAGUACGGCCGCAAGGCUGAAACUCAAAUGAAUUGACGG
rnacentral:rRNA from 1 species